AACCUUUGUUUCUAUUUGUUUUAGGUUUGAUGUAAGCUAUUGCUGCAACUGUUUCUCUGGCAGGGCCUUGUCUAAUAUGUUGAGUGGAGUGCAAACAUGGUAGAUGUGGAAAUAGACGUAAAACUGAAGAACGCUAAUCUUCAGGCAAAAAGGGAACAAUUGCGAAUUUGGAUUGGAUUUAAGCCCCCAGUGACUAACUCAAAGCCAAUCCAUGACCAGAAAUUCACAGGAAAGGAGGUAGAAGUUGUCCGUGGGUUUAGCUUGAUCGUUGCCGAUCGCUUCAUAGGAUAUCAUCACGAGGGAUGUUGACUCCAGGGAUGGAGGAAGCACGGCAGAGCAUCCGGCCAGCAGUGGGGAUGUAAGUGCGGAUAAGGUCGGCGGCGGCCUGAAGAGGCAGGGGAAGAUGACGAACAGGGCAGGGGUUUGGGUUCCACCGCCACCGUCCUGCGGCAGUUGGGGGCCUCUUCGUUGCAGAGCCGGCUAGGCUCCACCUCCUCCAUCCCUACCUUGGCGCUGCACAUGGGAGAAGCUGCACAUGGGAGAAGAAGGGGGCGACAUGAUGAGGACGAGGGGUUGCCGGGAUGGAUUCUGCAGCGCCGUGUCAUCUUGUCUCCUGCAACCAGCCCCGUGACUCUUUUCUCAUCGAUCUCGCGACGCUGCUACACUCCCUCUUCAUCAACAUCCACAUCACGGUCGUCUUCGCGUCGAGCUGGCAGCGCAUAUGCAUGAUCCCAGGUUACAUGGUGUUUGCUACAGUUCUGGGAGUUAGCCGAUGGCAAUAUAUUUGCACUUUUAUUUUGGUGCUUAACAGUUGAAGUCAAUUGCAGGUGUUAACAGUAUUCAUAUGCACCAAGGAGCUCUAGGAGUUGGGGAGGAAGGAGGAGUCCAGGGACAUCAAUUGGCAGUGCCAGGAAGUUCAGCAAGAGGCGUGCAAGAGGUUCACCAUCGUUGUAGCACACCAUAGCUCAGACCAGAACCACAAGAGAUGGAGUUUGACAUCCUGAAGCAAACAAGCACCGGUGUUGAUUGGAGUAAAAAUACAGACAUCAACUAAGACAAUCGCAGGUUUGGUCCGGCAUUUGAGGUUCGGUUCCAAGGCCGCGUGGUUUUGUCUGGAUGGAUCCCCUCUUUGACUGUAUUCUUGGAGCCAUAAAUACUGAGGUCAAAUGUGAGGAUAU